CCAUGACUGGUUCUAGCGGGUUUACAGAGAUUGCAUACUUGAGUGCCUUCAUGUCCUGAAUAGACCUUUUGAUGUAUAGGGCCUGAUUGCAAUAUUUAAAUAUUAAGUCUCCACCCCAAGGUGAACAUGUGUCAUAUGUAAGAUGCAUGUUUAAUAUGCAUGCAUCAGGACCACUUUCAUUAAUAUUCAUAGCUCCUCCUGUAACCUGUUGAAUAUGUGUUAAGCCAACCCAUUCAGCAUAAAAGCAUAAAACUCCUACCCCAACCCCUCCUCCUUGGAGGUGCCUGUCUCUGGGCUUCUGCUGGAGGAGGCUGUGCUUCCUGGCCUGCAGGAUGGCCACCUGGCAGGCUGUCACCCUUAAGAAAUAGUGUCUCCAUUUUUCUAAAUUUGUAUCUUAUGAUUUUUUUUUUAAAGUUAACGUAUCUGGCAAAGAUGGGAUUCUGAAGCAGCCCCUGAAUUCCUUUUCCUGUGUCACCCAGGACACCAGGUACAGCCAAGGUCCCUUUGAAAAAGUCCAGUUGUUCCUGACUAUGCUGGGAAAGGAUCUGGGCUACAAAAAUGGUUAACAGGUCAUACAGGUUACUAAACAGCUGAUGACUCGUCACAUAGAACUUACAGGUAAGUCACUGUUGUAACCUUGCUUUUUGGCUCUUCUGUUGCUCAAAAGGUUUUUAAGGGUUAAUGAGUGCCUGUUCACCUCCAUCCUCAUCUGGCCUAGAAUGUUUAAUUGGCUCCAAGUCCCUUGGCCAUAAGGAUCCCACCAAAGAACAGAAUGAACCUGCAGCAGGUAGCCACACCACCCCGGCAAAGAUAUGGGAAAAAAUAAAUGUUUGGUCACCAAUGUCAUCUCUGGCACAUCUUGGCUAAAAGGGGAGAAUGUAAACUCAGCCUCCCAAAGUGCUGGGAUUACAGACAUGAGCUACCAUGCUUGGCCAGAAACACGUUUCUAAAAAUUGUGACGUGAUUCUCAUCUUUAAAGUGCUGAUAGAGAACAGACAAUUCAAUAUUUCUUGCCUCCUAGGUUUUCACUAAAAUUUAAGGUUACUAAGAGUAAGAAUUUUAGUUAAUAUAGAAUUCUAUAUAUAAAAUGUGCCAAAUAAAUGUGUUCUUAUGGAGAAAAAGAAUAAUUUUAUUUAAUUUGGAUGUUAUUUAAAGGUUAGUUAUGAAAGAAGGUAGAAAACCAGUAAGUAGGAGAGAUGUGAAAAAAGUUAGCUAUGAAGAUGUAUUUUUGGUAAGGAAGGUUCAAAAGAGAAUAAUUUCAUAUAUGAAAGUAUCUUGCAGGGUAAAUUUCUGUCCUAAAGUAAAAUGACUGGUUAUUAAGGAAAGGGGAAAUUUAGUACAAAUCAGAAAGUACAAGCAUGUUAUAGAUGGUCUAAGUUGUGAUAAGGUUUGUGAGAGAAUACUUAUGAAAAGCAUUUUGUGUGGGAUUAAGUUGGCUAUAAUUAAAAUUAUUUAUAAAAGUCUUUCUAAAUUUUGGUCCCUUGUUUUAAAAGAAAGUUGUCUUAAAAUAUGAUUUACUCUUAAUACAAUUAAAAGAGGUUUUGAUUUUUAAUUCUAAACCUGUUUCUUGUUGAAAACUUCUCAGAUUAGUAUCUUGGAAGUUCCACUUUUGCUGCGUCUUGCUACUUUGUUUUUCUCCCCCUUUGAGAAGGCCUGAGAUGAUAACUUUUCCCUUCAACUGUUUUGCCAGCUCCUGUAACUUUUUCCCUCUGGUUCUAACUGCCACUGUGGCCUGAUGCUAAAAUGUUUUAUCUUGAAGGUCUCGAAGAGCAAUGUUUUCCUACAGUAUACCUUGAUUCUGUACUCUUGGCUUUUCCUGAUAUCCGAAUUGUUCCAUAUAACCAGAAAACUUCCCAUGCUGUUAUUAAGAGUCAUGUAUUCCCCGGCUCAAGGUACAGUUUUCUAGUUUCCUGUUUCCUCCAUAACAUAAAGUUCAUUCAUGACCCCAGACACACUCUUCUUGUGUCUGAUUAAUUCAAGUAAACUUUUUACAGUUUGAUUUCCAAGUUAUCUAAAUGGGCUUCUCAUAGGAGAAGCAACCACACUGUAGGUUUUUCUUUGCCUUUUUGGUAACUGGCCUAAGAACCAAAGAUUUUACAUUUUAUCAAGAUAAUUCCCAUGUUUUCUUUAUUAGAUUUUUUAUUACUUAGGAAAACUAAGCUUUAAAAGGGUUAAGGUUUUUACAUCCAUGUGACUUUCCAUAUUGCAUUUAAAGUCUUUUGAUUAUUACUCUUGGUUUAAUGAAUAACUAUUACAAUGACCUGUAAUUCCAUUUUGAUUAAAAGCUUUGAGCCUUUGAACAUCUUUGACAAAUGUCCUCAAAAUCAAAUAAACAUUGCUAAUUCUUCAUGUUUUGCUUUUCAGAGUCAAUAAAACCUUUUUUCUUUUAAACUAUUUACAGCUUACAGAAAUUGGGUAAAACAUUGAAGAUUACCUUUCUCUCUACCUAGUAUCUCUAGAAUUUGAAAACUAUUCAAUCCCCCUAGGCCAAUCUGCUUUCCAUUGCCAAGGCACUACUGCUAAAGCAAUACAGUAUCAAGCACCCUCCCAGUAGGCCCAUGGACUAUCACAGAAGGGGUGGGCACAUGAGAUUGUAAGGGCCAGUUUCAACAGAUAAAAUUAGUUCAGACCCUCCAAAUUAAAGAUGGGCAUACAGAUUACCAAACAGCUCAUGGCUCAACACACAGAACUCAUAGACAAGUCACUUUUGUAACACUGCUUUUUGGUUAUGUUGCUCAAAAGGUUUUUAAGGGUUAAUGCGUGCCUGUGAACCUCCAUCUUCAUCUGGCCUCCAAUGUUUAAUUAGUUUUAAGUCUUUUGGUUCCAAGUCCCUUGGCCACAGGGAUCCCACCAAAGAACAAAAUGAGCCUGGGGCAGGUAACGACACCACCCUGGCAGUGACAUGAGACAAAAUAAAUGUUUGGUCAUCAGUGUUGCCUCUGGCACAUCUUGGCUAAAAGGGGAGAAUGUAAACUAAAAAUAAAAUCCUAAGACUCCUCCCCUACAGAUUGAAUGGACCCCCUCUUGGCCAAGGGGACCCCAGAAAAUUCUUAAAAACGGAGUUCCCAGCCAUGACAGGACAGCAGGUUAGACACGACUUGUUAUACUCCCCUCCCUUUUCUGGUUUACAGACAAUUGACCCGCAUUAAAGUUAAAAUAGAGAUCCUAAGAUUGACAGAACAGAUUCUUUGUGGCAGCAACAUAACAAAUUACCAUGCCAGGCAAGGGUUAAGUUAUGCACCCCUACGCUUAAAGAAUAAACUAGGUUCUAACUGCAACAAGGAUUCUCUUUCUCUCUAGCAGCUAAACAAGCAGUGGCCUCACCAUAAACACUAAUAAAACACUUGCAGCCCUACCAGAUGCUGACUAACUGAACUCUACCAGCCAUAACUAUAGCUUUGACUGGACAAGAGAGUGAUUUCAGUAACUUUCUCCUGUUAAGAAGCCCACCGACCAUGGACUGGUUCUAGUGGGUUUACAGAGAUUGCGUACUUGAGUGCCUUCCUGUCCUGAAAAACCUUUUGAUGUACUGGGCCUGAUUGUAAUAUUUAAAUGUCGAGUCUUCUCUGUGAGAUGAACAUGGGUCAUAUGUAACAUACUUGUUUAAUAUGCAUUCAUCAGGACCACCUUUAUGAACAUUCACAGCUCUUCCUGUAACCUACUGAAUAUGCAUAUUUAGAUAACUUUUUCAGCAUAAAGCUCCAAGCCAACCCCUCCUCCUUUGAAGUGCCUGUCUCUGGGCUUCUGCUAGAGGAGGCUGUGCUUCCCAGCUUGCAAGAUAACCUGACAGGCUAUAACUCUUAAGAAGUAAUAGUUUCCUCUCUCCUUUUCCAAACUUACAGAUUUGUGAUUUUAAAAAGUUAACAUGACUUACUCCAUUGGGAGUGUUACUUAAAUGAACUGAUUUUAAAUCUCAAACAUACCAAUUACCAUACAUAUGGUAAAACUGAAGUCUGUGAGGGUAAAGCAAUUUCUCUGAGUUUCCACAGUAAGUGAAGGCUCUUCAAAGUGCCAUGCUGUUCAUCAACUUCGGAUGCUCUGCAAGUGGAGAUCUCUCCCUCAGGCAGUGGCAGGAAGAGACUCUGCCCAUCUCACUUCUGCCCACUUGAUACAAUGCUUUGGGAUUAUUUCUCCCCUCUUUCCACAGAAGAACAUCAGGAGUGGAUUGUUAUGUUUCUAUAUUACUUUGCAUGGGUCUCAUUCCUCAGCUUUUUCUGGUACAAGGUAGACUCUAAUCUUGAGGUGAGCACAUUCUAUUCUAUUCAUCUCCUCUAGGACACAAGCCACAGGAAUUCAGUGUUGACAAAGAUAGUUCUUGGUGUUGCUAAAGCUGCAGAAAUGACAGGAAGGACUCAGGAGAGAUUCUGCUUUUUUUUUUUUCCCCCAGCUCCUAUCAGACAUUCCCAGGUGGGGCUGGGGUAUUAUACCAUCUGGCUUCAGAAAUGCUCUAAGACUCCCUUUUACCCCUACCAUCUGCCAACUUCUGUCAACACAAACUGCUAAGAAAGGGAACCUAUUUUUCAGCCUAGUAUUCUUACUAUGGCAGAGAUAGAGAAAAGUCAUGCACAUAUUACAUAAGAUUGUCAAGAUCUGCCAGGGAUUCACCCUCUGCCUCUGAGCAAGACUGUUUCUAACACGAAUAGGAAGACUACCAGAGAAGGGAGAGAGAAAUCUGUUUCCUGUUUUCAAAAUCUCCAGAGGAGAUCCCUCAGCCAAGGAGAAGAGUCUUAACCCUAGUAACACACACAGCAUCCUUGAAACAAACAACAAAAGCGAUGUGGCCACAAGGAUAUGUGUGUAAUUCUUUGAUGGUGUGUUUGAUCUCGCCCCAGUUUGGCCUCACUUAAACUCAAAUCCAACAGCUUGGAAUGCAAUUUUAAAAUUCUGAGCAAUGACAAAUGUCUCACACAUGCUACCUUUUGUGCUUUCCUGGCCAAGCUGUUAUCUGCAGUUAUUUUCAAGAACAGAGUUCAUUUUUGUUCUUAUUUCUGAAUGGGGAAUUAUAUAAGGCUUGAUUUUGGCCACAGUGGAGGCAUGGAAGUUCAACCUAAGGAGGAGCAGAGUUUGCUAUCGCCUACAUUUGAUUGAUUUCAGGUUUAAACAGCAAGGCAUGAAGAUAAUCCAGAGAUGACCAGACUCUCUCUGGACAGCCUGUUUUCACCCUUGCCCUCCUUGAAACAGGUCACAUUCACAGCACUUACAUGCAUCCCCUAAAAAUACCAACUCCAAGCACAUUAGUGAAAUGGAUGUUGCACUGAAUACUCAGUGGGGAGAUGAAAAUUCACUCAACCCCACAGGAUAACUUAAGACUAGGAUGCCUAUGGACACUUGUGCUUCCCCAAGCCCCUAAAGCUGCCCUCCCCUGCAGCUGUCCAUCGCUGUUGUCUUUACCCACCUCCAUCUCUAAAACUCUCCCCUUAUUUAAAGAUAAUCUUUAUCAACACCAAAGCCAGUAACCAGCCAGAACACCUCCCCUACCACCAAGUUUCCCCAGGGUGCCAUCUUCCUUCUGCUUUCCUCUCCUAUCUCAGUGCCACUGCAAUCCCUGAAGUAGUUCAUCAACGUAUUUAUCCAACAAACUAGAUCUGUUCCUAAGGGGAAUUCUGCUGCAAAAUAAAUUUUAGUUUUCAUCCUAUUUUACCAAGCCAUUAAUAUAUGCUGUUAGCAGUAUGUGCUCAUUAAUCUUAACAAUAACCCUGUAAGCUGUUAUAAUUCCCAGCAUACUGAAAAGGUAACAGGGAGGGGCGUAGAGAAAUUCAGAGACUUACCCAUGCUAAGACUCCCGUUCCAGGUCUGCCAGGGUCCUUACCCACACAAGCUGCAGUGCAAAGGUGGGUGGCCCUGGGCAAUGUAAAAUGGGAGGAUGUGGAUAGGGCUUGGGUCUGGAGCUGCUUUCUCAACACUCCAAGCAGUACCCGUUCGCAUAUUCAAGCAGCUCCUGUGAGUUCCCUUUGGCUGAGAAGUUUCUGUCCUCUCCUGGGCCACCCUGCCCACAGAUAAAAUGCAAGUGAUUUAUUUUGUUGCUUACAAAGGUUAAGGGACUUGUGAAGGCCACAUAACUGUUAAAUGCUAUUGACACCUGGACUUAAUAAACCUAAUAGUAUCUAACAUCCAGGUGGCUAUUUGAAGCAUUAUGCCAUUAUGCCUCUUGAAAGGAAGUCUAGUCCUGGGUUAUGUUUAAAGGAGCAUUUCUUUCCUUUCCAAAAUGACUGCAGAAAGCCAACUAUCUAAGCAGGGAUUAGCAAUUCUACUUCUGAUCAGGGGAACUGACCUAUAUGGGGUAAAAGUGUGGGAUGGGGGAAGUCCCAUUUCCCCAUCACCCUCCUAAUAUUCCCCUGCCUGCUAUAGGGAGGACUUAGAAAAAUGGCUGGAGACUGAGCUAUAUUUAUUAGGGGUCAUUAAAACCCCUAAAAGGUUGUUUAAACAUCAUAUGCAUUUCCACUUCCUGCUCCAUGCUGUCAACCAGGCACAAGUACCAGGGCCUACUUUUUUUUUUUUUUGAGAUGGAGUCUUGCUCUCUCGCCCAGGCUGGAGUGCAGUGGUGUGAUAUCGGCUCACCGCAACCUCUGCCUCCCAGGGUCAAGUGAUUCUCCUGCCUCAGGUUCCUGAGUAGCGGGUAUUACAGGCGCCCACCACCACACCCGGCUAAUUUUUUGUAUUUUUAGUAGAGAUGGGGUUUCGCCAUGUUGGCCAGGCUGUUCUGAACUCCUGACCUCUAGUGAUCCGCCUGCCUCUGCCUCCCAAAGUGCUGGGAUUACAGGCGUAAGCCACUGCGCCCAAGGGCCUACUCUUUCCAAGCAGGCCCAAUGAGACGUUCUUCCCUGUCUCAGGCUUGGAAGCCAGAUGGUGGUAAGAUCUGGAUGUAGGAGGCAGAGGACAAACCUAAGCCAUGAGCCACAACCUAGCUGUUCCAAAGAUCUCUGAAAUAAGCUAAUACAAAGCAGUAUGUUGAUUUCCAUUUUGCUGUCUGCUCCUUGUGCAUUUAGCUCCAGGAGGGAGUUAAUAGGAGAGGGGUGAGUGGCAAGGCAGGAUAUGGUCAUUCCUUGGGCCCUGGUUGUGAUACUAACUUAAUAUAAUCAAAACCUAGGGUGACCAUAUAUCUAUAAUCCAUACCAGGACAAUUCUGAGAACAAAAAAGAGCACUAUUAAUUAUGCUAAGACAACAAUCCAUCCUCCAUAGCUGGAAUGCAUGGUCACCCUGUUAAAAAGUAAGAAAACCUACCCUGGGUCCUACCCUUACCUUUGAUCACAUGGAGACUUUAAUUUUUAUGUAUAACUAGAUGAGAAAACCUAAGUCCAAUAACAAUAGAUCAUUACAAAGAAAACAGCACUGGAAUACUCAAGGUCUUAGAAGAAAUAAGGUUAAAAUAAAAAAACAGCAGCAGACCUAUUUAAAAGUUGUUUUGUGGCUGGGCGCAGUGGCUCAUGCCUGUAAUCCAAGCACUUGGGGAGGCCGAGGUGGGGAGAUCAUUUAAGGCCAGGAGUUCGAGUCCAGCCUGGCCAACAUGGAGAAACCCCGUCUCUACUAAAAACACAAAAAUAAGCCAGGGGUAGCGGUGCAUGCCUGUAAUCCUAGGUAUUCGGGAGGCUGAGGCAGGAGAAUCACUUGAACCUGGUCAGUGGAAGUUGCGGUGAGCCAAGAUUGAGCCACUGUACUCCAGCCUCGGUGACAGAGUGAAACUCUGUCUCAAAAAAAAAAAAAGGUUAUGUUCUGCCCAGGCCCUCUAUUUGAAGUUUUCAUGAAACCAUCUCAUUUGUGGAAAGCAUUUUAGUUUAGAGUACUUCUACGGGCAUGCUCUAAGCCUGUGAGGCAGGUCACAGGUUUAGCACCAUGACAGAAGCUGUGCAGCAAGCAGCAGAGGCAAGACUCAAGUCCAGUAUCUGGGUUAGCCCAGUGUUUCCUCCCGUACCCAUGCUGUGACCCCUCAUGGCCUCUGCUCUGCAUGGGCCACAAGCUUGUGUCCUGAACUUAGAAUAUCUGGGGGAAGGCAGAGGACAACAUGAAAUGACGCCCAUGGGAGACAGGGAACCAAAAGGAACAUCUGUUGCCUGAAUCAAAAUUAACUGCAAAGCCAGUCAUUAGCACUGCACAUCAUCAAAACAGGAGAGAUCUGUGUCCAUUUAUUUUCAAAGCCAUCCUGGACUUGGCGGGAAAAAAAAAUGCUGCCUAAUCCCAACACGAUUUUUCAAAUAGUUUUCCAAGAUUCUAAAUCUUAUAUGUAAAUUAACUGGCAAAGGAUUAAAACCCAACAUUUAAAAUAGUGGUACUUAAUGAGGGGCAGCACAUACCUUCAAGGGGGCAUUUGGAAAUGCGUAUGGUCAUUUGAGUUGUGACUUGGGUGGGGGGGUCACAAAGAGGAUGACUCCUCUUCAAGUCAAUAAAUUUCAGUGACAUAGAAGAAAAAGGUGACCGGGUCCAUAGUCAGUGACUUGCAAUCACAGACAAGCCUAUCAUUUGUGGGAUUACUGGGCUUCUGAGAAGCAGCCCAUGGUGGAUUGACGACAAUACAGCACUUGCUGUCCUCCAGGGCUACACUCAGCAGAACACCUGGGAGUUCUGUAGAUCUGCCAAUCUCAUUUCACGGAAAUGGGACUGUGAUGUGUUCAUGCAAAACACGCUGUCCCUACUCAAAACAGUACGCUCUGAUGAAGUCUACAUAGCACAUAUACUUCACCUGUAUGAAAUGGAUUUGGAAAUUACAUGACUCAUUUAGUUCUUCCUCUCCUUAGCCUGUGAAACUAAUUUCUUCCUUGAGGUAUUGAGAUUUAGGUAAAACAGGGUUAGAGAAGCACAAAUAAUCCUGCUGCAUUCAAACUAAGUCAAAAAGUAUCAGAAGAUCUAAAGGACUAACUUGAUUUAAACUUUUCCUGGCAUGACAAAAAGACUGACGUUUCCCAAAAGAAAUUCCCCAAACUGCCAAAGACAGGGGCUGCUGAUGGAGCCAUACUUACUGAGCUGAUUCAUAUUGCUGGGAGGAUCUGAUGAGAAUAAUGAAGAUUUCAGAGAUCAAAGUUUCCACUCUCUGUGGUUCUAAGAAUGUCUCAGUUUUGUCCAAGUCACAAACAACCCCUGGGCUUUAACUAUCUAACCAGAAACUAUAUGUCAUCCUCUGUUGGGGUUACUUUAAAUGAGCACCUGUAUGUCAAGUUUGAUGCAAGUGUGUAUAGUAUUGAGAGGAUGUCCUAGAAGCCCAAAGUAAAGCACUCCUUUCUCUCCUCAGCUAAAUGAAUGAUGUUCUAUCUUGCAGAUCCAUUUUCAAUCAAUGGAUAAGGGUGUUCAAUUCUCAGCAGAGCACUGAAGAAGUCUUUUGCAGACAAUAAUUAGCAGCAAUUCACAGAGAGAUGAGUCAUUUAUGCCUUUAAUGUUACAUGUACAAAACUGUGUAUUAGUGACGACUUAUGAGGGUGCUGAAGACA
rnacentral:lncRNA from 1 species